UAAAUGGUGACACCCCAUUUAAGAAAUCAUGCGUACACCACCGACAACAAUACACUCGUAUAAUAGGUGUAGCCACGCCCCUCGUCCUUUCUCCAAGAGAUUUCAUCACUUCGAGUUUCAAGGGCACUUAAAUCAAUCAAAGUUGUCCACCUCUCCUCCUCUCCAUUCCGAUCUGUUGAAGUUUGAAAUCAAUUGGUAUUUCUUGUUCAUGAAAGAGGAAUUUUGAAUUUUGAAUUUUAAAUUCAUCAUUAUCCCAUUCUUUCAUUUGUUUCCCUCCCUCAAUUCGAUCUAAUAUUUCCUCUAUAUAAAGUCAUGUUCUCUUUAUUUUUUAAGGUUAACCACAACUUACCUACCUACAAAGAGAACAACUUACAAAAGGGUUUAGGAAUGGAAAUAGAUAUAGAUGUAUAUAAGAAAUGCACCCAAAAUAGAGAGGAGAACUAGUUGGGAUCUUAAUUGCACCUCGUUUUCCGUUCAUCACACUUCCUAUUUCAUUGGAAUUCUGUCGGUGGUGGAACCGCUUUGUUGUUAUCCUAGAACGUUACUUCAACAAAGGAUUAAAUUGAUGAGAAAAUAAAGAUAUUUGAAGCUAAAAAAAUUAAAGAUAGAGGAUUGAAGAAGGAAAUCAAACAUACAACUUAAUGGAUUAAAGUGAAUAUUUUAUUAAUAUUUAUGUAUGUGCAGAAGUUUUUUAGAAACUAAAGAACUGCACAUAUGAGUUGUGCCACGUAGCAACAUUUCAAUAUCUCCAAUUAUGUGAGGCGGCGGACGAAGCGCAGUGUCACGAGGAAUCCGAUUCCGUCAAGGUUUUGGAUUUCCAAUUUGAUCAGGGAAAGUCUGAGGACCCAAGAAUUUGAAGCAAGGGAGCAUGGUUGAGCUUAAGUGUGGGGUGCAUACUACCCUUAAAAAAAAUUGAGAGAACAUGCUACAAGGAGUUUUCCUAACCCUUAUUUUUAAUUCUGUUUGAUACUUUAGGGACAUAGCAUCUUUUCAAGUAUGGGGUGAGGGAUUCUUCCACAUAUUUUGGUUAGGAUGAAGUGUGCGUUAUAUUUGUUUAAUAUAGUUCUGUUGAAAAAAAACAUGAAAAAAUUUUGGACAGUGAAGUUCGGAUCCAGUUUGUGUCUGCUCGCCGACCUGGUACAUAAGAAAUCGUAAAAAAAAUCGAAUAUGUUAUUUUGAGUCA